UCCAGGCGUCAGAGAUGAAUGCCGAGGUCGUCUACGCUCACGUGAAACAACUUUUUAUAGCUCUCUGCUCAAUUAUACAGCUAAUGUACGUAUACAUUCCUCCUUGAAUAGAAGAAGUAAUCAACAGUUUUUAAAGCCUGGAUGUCGAGUCGAAGCUCGCUACAACGUCGCUAGCUUGUUAGCGUUUAACUUCAAUGAAACCAACACGUGGUGGAGGAGCAUGGUCUCGAUAAGAACCAGGACUUAGAAGGACCAGACUUACGACGGGUGAAUUCUUCCCCACUUGCUUUCAAACAAAGACGAGGAGAGUUCAAAGGUGCCAUGUAUGGAACAUCUGUGGAAAGGAGAUUGAUACAGGUAAAAUGCAGGUGUUUGAGUGAAUGACUCUUAAGGAAAACUAUUUAGAAACAAGGUUGUUGCACACACAAACUGUGCUUGCAUCAUAAUGCUAACGUCCAAUUUGACUUCUGCCUGCAAGACUUUUUCUUCAAGUUUUCAAGGAAGAUCUGCUGCUCUUCAAGGUAGUCAUGGUCCUGUGUGCAUAAGUAACUCAAUUUAGUGGACCAGUCAAAUGAAAUGCAUACAUAUUUUCCUAAUGUUGGUACUUUAAUGUGAAAUUUGUAAUAAACAUUGAAGCAUCAGCA